UGGGGGAUAUUGCACAAUGGGCGAAAGCCUGAUGCAGCGACGCCGCGUGGGGGAUGAAGGCUUUCGGGUUGUAAACCUCUUUCGCUAUCGAACAAGGCCCGCUUAGGGUGGGUUGAGGGUAGGUGGAGAAGAAGCGCCGGCUAACUACGUGCCAGCAGCCGCGGUAAUACGUAGGGCGCGAGCGUUGUCCGGAAUUAUUGGGCGUAAAGGGCUUGUAGGCGGCUUGUUGCGCCUGCUGUGAAAACGCGGGGCUUAACUUCGCGCGUGCAGUGGGUACGGGCAGGCUUGAGUGUGGUAGGGGUGACUGGAAUUCCAGGUGUAGCGGUGGAAUGCGCAGAUAUCUGGAGGAACACCGAUGGCGAAGGCAGGUCACUGGGCCAUUACUGACGCUGAGGAGCGAAAGCAAGGGUAGCGAACAGG
rnacentral:rRNA from 1 species